AUUCCACGGCAUCAACAGAAAACAAAACCUCCACGGUAACCAAAAAUGGCAGCAGCAGCAACAACUCUCUUCCUCAAACUCUCCUUCACCCGUCAUCACUUCACCCCUCCUCCUCUUCCUCUUCCUACUUCCACCAAUCCCUUCCCGCUUCAUCGCCGCCGGUCAUCGGGUUCUCUUCCUCGCAAUCCCGGCCGUUGCCUCGCCGCCAAAUCGGGACCGCCCCAGCCUCCUCCGGAAUCUGACCAGACUCAGCUCUCAGGUCUUGCUGGAUCUUUGUCCCAAUUUCAGGACAAAGUGCAGAUCUUCUUUGCUGUUCUUUUUUGGAUGUCUCUGUUCUUCUGGGCUUCUGUAUGGGACGACAGGGAUAGACCUAACAAGGGCUCACGAUUUAGAAGAUGACCUAACAUUCUAAGAUCAGGCUAUAAGGGUUGCAAGUAGGACAGUUAAGAUGGGAUAGCACAAGUUGCCUUGAAAAACUGAAAUGUAUGAUAGUCUUGCUACGUGGAUUACUGGAGUAGUACAAAUUUGAGGAUCUCAUUACAGUUGUGAAGUAAGCUUGGAGAGUGUUCAAUCUGGCAUCAUGUGCUUUUUGGAUUCAAUCAUGUCCUAGACAGUCUAUAGUUUUGUAUAGUACUCCAGUUUGUAGUAGAUAGUUGGUACCAAAAAUAGAAAUGUGGCCAGCAGAACAUGACAGGUCCCUAGUGAACAUUGGUUUGGUAUCAACCAUGUUCAUGUCUGCACUUUAAAUAGCAAAGAAGUUGUAUUCGACAUUUACUGUUAUUCCUCUGCCGACUGCUGCGAUGUACUGCCUUUCAAUGCGUAUGUUAUACUGAGUGAUUGCUGUGGUUA